rnacentral:rRNA from 1 species
UACGUAGGGGGCAAGUGUUAUCCGGAUUUACUGGGUGUAAAGGGAGCGUAGGCGGCUCGAUAAGUCUGAUGUGAAAGCCCGGGGCUCAACCCCGGGACUGCAUUGGAAACUAUCGAGCUAGAGUGUGGGAGAGGUAAGUGGAAUUCCUAGUGUAGCGGUGAAAUGCGUAGAUAUUAGGAGGAACACCAGUGGCGAAGGCGGCUUACUGGACCAUAACUGACGCUGAGGCUCGAAAGCGUGGGGAGCAAACAGG